CCGGCUCACCUUGAACUACUUCUUGAUGAUGGAAUUGACAAUUGAGGCUCAAACACAAAAUUGUGUCAGCACCAGGCCAGUCAGAACCCACCUGAGAAAAGCCAAGAUUCUAACAUCGGGAAAUCAGGAGUAAACCACACGAUGAGCUGCAGGGGCGGGGACAGAAAUUUUUGAUGGUUGUGCCUGGCACAUAACAGACACUCAAAAAAUAUCUUCGGAAUAGACAAGCAUCAACGUGCAAGGUGGGAGUGAAGUUGGAAUGGAAGAGCAAGGAGAUCUAGGAAAAGAAUUGCGGGGUGAAGAAGGACUCCAGAGUGUUUCCUGUCAGUACAGAGUAUUGAAGAGAAAAGAAGUCCAGAGAGGAGGUGUCUGCAGCUAGCCUGUGUGUCUUGGACUCAAAGAGUGUCCGGUGGGCUUCAAAGGCCAGCGGCAAGGCAGAUAAAACAGAUUUUUAAAAAUUGAAAUGAAAAGAAACAGAUUUUAUUUUGAGAAUUUGUACACUGGGAGUAGGCAGCACUGAUGUGAAGUGAAAAAGGAUUUUUUUUUUUUUAAUGUCAUGCCUUCAUUUGUACACCACCUACAGCUUCAAAAUCCUUUCACAUGUAUCCAUCUAAUCCUUAAGGUGGGCAUGAGCCUCUUUUGGCGGUCGGCAAGGAUGGGAAAGAUUACAUGAUUUCAGGUCUCACAGAGAAAGUGAUGGAGCUGUAGCUUGAAUUCUAAGCUUUUACUUCAAAUCCACAAUGCCAUGCCUCACUCCAGUGAAGGACGGACUCCUGUUCUGUCUCCUAAAACCCACACAGCUCGCCUGGAGCUUCAAACGUGAGAAUACAUUCCAGUUGCAGGAUCAGAGGACUUUUCCUACAGCACGGAUCUUUGGAAGUUUGAACUCAACAGUGAAGACUUAGGGUAUCUGGCAGAAGAAAUUUCUAAGCAGUAAAGCAUUCACGAGUAGCCUGGAUGAUUCCAACAGCCUAUGGUCAGAUGUUGGAGAAAAGAAAUGACUUAACAUUGGAAAUUAUAUUUAAAAGAAAAGCAAAGCAUGAAAGUUUGGAAAAUUUGAAACCUAGCCAUGUGGUAGAAAAUAAUGCCCGUUUUCACAAGAAGAAUCCAAGCAGGCUGAGGUGCAACCACUUGCUAGAGAUAUUCGCAUAACUUAAUGGAGCCAAGUGGUAGUAGCCAAGACAAUGGGAAAAAGUCCUUGAAGGAUUUUUUUUUCCAAGAUGGUGGAUGGGGGCAGGGUUAGCAUGCCUCUCCCACUUGGAAGAACAGAAAAGUGUAAGGAGAUUCACACUGUGAACUUUUUCAAAGAACCACCACAGGAAGUUACCAGGAAAACUGAAAGAAUUCACAGAUCCUUUGAAAGAGGCCACAGCAUACUCUGCAAGACAGUUAGACACAUAACUGUGACUGUCCUGCUGGAGAGGGAGGCCACAAGCAGGGGCCCUGGAGGAUGAGGAGCCACAUGGAGAGUGAGGCCUCAGAGAGGAGUGCAGAGGUUCUGGACAUGUGAGUGAAGGUGCCACCUUGGACAUUCCAGCCCCAUCAAGGCUCCAAGGACACCAGACCCAUCCAUCGUGUGAUAACAGCCAACAAGAGCCCCGGGUGAGUGCAGCAGGGCUGCCCUGCCAAGCCCUUCAGCCCACAGAAUUGUGAGAACGAUUAAACUGUUGUACUCCACUAAGGUUUGGGUUAUGAUGGAUAACUGGGAUGCUGCUCCCAGCAACCACUUCUAGGAUUCCCUUCCAGAAUGACUAUGCCUUGAUUCUCAGUCUGAUGGACAAGGUUGUAUGUGCCUCACACUUAUGAAAUCAGCACUAUUCUGUAAUGACAGGCACACAAUGCUCACUUGAGAAAGGAAGGCUUUGUUGCAUUUGAGAGGGGUGGAAAUGCUACUCUGCUGAAGUGAGCACCUGGACAACAAAAUGGAGGAUUUUAGGAAGUUUCUCUUGACUCAGAAGGAAGAUUGCAGCCCAGCUAUAAAGGAACCCAUGUCUGCUAAGUUCCCUAUUAUAUUUUCCUCAUGCUUCUCACCUUGAUGUUUUUGUUCCACUCAGGUCUUUGUUCAGACUUCACCUCCUCACAGGGAACUCCCCUGGGCCCCUCUCUAGAUUGGCCCCUCUGCCACCCCAGGUUCCUUCCUGUGCUUUAUCCUGCUCUCCACCUGACGUCAUAUAACUCUUUUUUUUCUUUUUUUUUUUUUUGAGAUGGAGUCUCCCUCUGCCACCAGGCUGGAGUGCAAUGGUGCGAUCUCGGCUCACUUCUACCUUCGCCUCCCAGGUUCAAGUGAUUCUCCUGCCUCAGCCUCCCAAGUAGCUGGGACUACAGGACCUCUGAUCCCUGAAGGGAGGACCCAGAGUCACCAGCCUGCCAAGAAACACCGAGCAUCUGCUCUGGAGAAGGGAGUUAGGAAGGAAACGUGUGAACCACGCAGCCAGACCGGUCUCCAGAUGGCAAGACCUCUGAGGAAUUCAUCUGUGGUCAAUAGCACUGGAAUCACCCAUGAGUCCAAGAUGGAAGGCUGAUGAAGAGAAGGAACAGGGAGAGGGAAUUAACUUUCCUGAGCUCAGUGCUUGAGUGAGAGUCAAAUCUCCAUAUACCAAUCAUGGAGCAGAGGUGCUAUGAGAGAUUCCUAACUCCUGAACAACUGUGACCAAGAUAGGUGUCUGACCACCAAAUGUUCCUGUUUUCCCCACAAGUGGCAGCUCCGCCAGGGAAUGCAUAUUUCAUCUAGGUAGGGUUAUGUGAUUAAUUCCCCUUAAAGACAUGUAAACAGCAGCAACAGAUGCCAUUUCUCACCUGAGGUUGUUGGUAUGGGGUGCAUGAUCCUCUGCAUAUUCAUUUCCUCCGCCAUGGAUUCUUAGCAUUGGGAGCCACAGGAAAGAAGCCAUCUGGAUUUCUGAGUCAUUAUUUGGAGGAAAACCUCAUCUUCAACUGAGACAUGAGUAAAAGACAAACUUCUGAAAUUGUACUAAGCCAUUAAGAUGUGAGGUUCUUUUGUGUACUGGUCUGCCCUCAUGAACACACACAGACACAUUUUGUCGGCUUACUAGGAAUGCCCUUUGUGUUACUGAGCUUGCUGCUAGUGACAAGAUUACAAAUAUUCUUACAUUUAGGGGCACAUUAUAUUUUGGGGAUACAUUUUACAUAACAACUAUGGUAGAGCUAUAUUCCAUUGUUAAAAACAAAAAUCCACAAUGUAUGAAGGUGCAGGCUCACACCAACAGAUAAAACAGGUAACUAUCCCCACAGCACAAGAGGAUUAUUCACUUCACUGAAUUAUCCAUUUUAGCAUGAAAAAAAAAAAGUAUCCGGCUUCCUUAGGAGAUAUGACUAACCUAAUAAGAUGGGCAUUACUUUCAUGCAGAGGCCCCUCAGCUCCUGCUUUUCAAAGACCAUCCAGUUCACUUGAAAUGUGGUGCACCUAGGAAAAGUCAUCCCAGGGGCUCAGGCAGGGCCCUUCUUGCUCUCUUGCACAUUCCUUCCGAGCACUCAUUUCCUUGGCAGGGAGUACUCCUGAAUACACCUCACAUGAGAGUAAACUGGGCAAGAAUAGUGAGCUUUCCCAGCCACCUGGAGCUCAGAACCCCCGCUUACUUCACGUGGGACUUUCAGCUCUCCAUCCCCACUUUGGAUUGUUGUUGGAAGCUCCUGGUGCAUGUUACUUCUCGAUCUCCUAGACCUUCCAGAACAUCACAGAAUGUCCUCACUUCAGUUCCCUUUAAGAGUCACCCAGGACACAGCGUGUUAGCAUUCCCGUAGGUUUGCCCCACAUACAAAGCUUAUCUUAGCUUUGGAGAUAAGCAAGAAACAUCUCUUAGAACCAUCUCACCUCUUCUUUCCACUUGUGGACAUGCCUAUCUUGGGAAAGGCUGAUGACAUAAAAGAGAUUUCCAAAUUCCCAUGGGUCAGUAGACAUUCCAGCUUUCCCAAACCUUAGCAACAAACUAAAGCAUUUGUGGUAACUUUUGCAUCAUAUGAUAUUUAUAGAAGUCUACCUAUUGUAAAAAUGUACAAUGGUAAUAGUAAUAGCUGAUUUUUUUGAGCACUUACAGUGUGCUAAAUACUCUUCUAACGCUUUACAAGUAUUCACUCAUAGCCAACAAAUGUUGAAUAUUUUCAUCCAUUCUUCUUAUCCAGAUGUAGAUAAGUAGAAUGAGAUUCUAUUUACCUGUCAUUAUGAUUCUUCUGUACUGGUGGAUGCAUACCAUUUCUGGUUUCCCGGCUCAUAGGCCUUGCUCGUCUGACCUCUGACUAAACCAGGUUUUGAUAAUUGCAGUUGUUUUUAUUCCCUGUCUGCAGUCUCUUCCACAUUUUCUCCCACAAAUACUCCUCUUCCACAUACCCUUUCCUUCAGUUGUAAUAAAAUUAUAUACCAUACACAAGAUUUGAUAUUUGCAGAAUGAUUUUUUAGUAUCAUAGGCUUAUAUGCUUUUGGAAGUAGAAGUGGUGGAACUUCAUAAAACUUUUUGGUUUUUGAAGAUAUGAACACUGACCAGCGAGAUGAAGUUACUUCCCUAAGAUUGCACAGUUGGUCUGUUUAGCUGGUAAUAGACUUCAGAGAGGAUUCUUCCAAGUCCCCACUUAUCACUCUGUGCUCCGUAAAAUAGAAGAUGGCUUUCAUCUUAAAGCUCAUUUUAAAUCAUGAAGUGGGUAAAAGGAAAGUCAGUCUAUGUGUGUGUGUCUCUCUCUCCUUUUCUCUCUAUUCAUUCAUCUUACCAUCACCUAAAUUGCUAAGUUUUCUCAAAGUGCACCUGGGCAUAAAUUUCCUUGGAUCAUACUAGUCAUACUGCCAAUUUAUAUGGAGGUAUCCAAUGAUAA